CAUGCAAGUAGGACGCACAGUCUAUACCGUAGCUUGCUACACCAUAGGCUGUGAGUUGCGAACGGGUGAGUAACGCGUAGGUAACCUGCCUAUUAGAGGGGGAUAACUAUUGGAAACGAUAGCUAAUACCGCAUAACAGUAUGUAACACAUGUUAGAUGCUUGAAAGAUGCAAUUGCAUCGCUAGUAGAUGGACCUGCGUUGUAUUAGCUAGUAGGUAGGGUAAUGGCCUACCUAGGCAACGAUACAUAGCCGACCUGAGAGGGUGAUCGGCCACACUGGGACUGAGACACGGCCCAGACUCCUACGGGAGGCAGCAGUAGGGAAUCUUCGGCAAUGGGGGGAACCCUGACCGAGCAACGCCGCGUGAGUGAAGAAGGUUUUCGGAUCGUAAAGCUCUGUUGUUAAGGAAGAACGAGUGUGAGAAUGGAAAGUUCAUACUGUGACGGUACUUAACCAGAAAGGGACGG
rnacentral:rRNA from 1 species